rnacentral:rRNA from 1 species
ACUCCUACGGGAGGCAGCAGUGGGGAAUAUUGGACAAUGGGGGAAACCCUGAUCCAGCAAUACCGCGUGUGUGAAGAAGGCCUGCGGGUUGUAAAGCACUUUCAGUAGAGAAGAACAUGUUCAGGGCUAAUACCCCUGGACCUUGACGUAACCUACAGAAGAAGCACCGGCUAACUCCGUGCCAGCAGCCGCGGUAAUACGGAGGGUGCGAGCGUUAAUCGGAAUUACUGGGCGUAAAGCGCACGUAGGCGGUCUGGUCAGUCGGAUGUGAAAGCCCCCGGGCUUAACCUGGGAAUUGCAUUCGAUACUGCCAAACUAGAAUGUUGGAGAGGGAAGUGGAAUUUCCGGUGUAGCGGUGAAAUGCGUAGAUAUCGGAAGGAACACCAGUGGCGAAGGCGGCUUCCUGGCCAAACAUUGACGCUGAGGUGCGAAAGCGUGGGGAGCGAACAGGAUUAGAUACCCUGGUAGCUA